GACGAACGCUGGCGGCGUGCUUAACACAUGCAAGUCGAGCGGUAAGGCCCUUUCGGGGGUACACGAGCGGCGAACGGGUGAGUAACACGUGGGUGACCUGCCCUCAGCUCUGGGAUAAGCCUGGGAAACUGGGUCUAAUACCGGAUAUGACUCCAUGACGCAUGUUGUGGGGUGGAAAGCCUUGUGCGGCUGAGGAUGGGCCCGCGGCCUAUCAGCUUGUUGGUGGGGUGANGGGCCUACCAAGGCGACGACGGGUAGCCGGCCUGAGAGGGCGACCGGCCACACUGGGACUGAGACACGGCCCAGACUCCUACGGGAGGCAGCAGUGGGGAAUUUGGGCAAUGGGCGAAAGCCUGACCCAGCAACGCCGCGUGAAGGAUGAAAUUUUUCGGAAUGUAAACUUCGCAAGAACAGGAAGAAUAAGU
rnacentral:rRNA from 1 species